rnacentral:rRNA from 1 species
CCUACGGGUGGCAGCAGUGGGGGAUAUUGCACAAUGGGGGAAACUCUGAUGCAGCGACGCCGCGUGGGUGAAGAAGUAUUUCGGUAUGUAAAGCCCUAUCAGCAGGGAAGAAAGAAGACGGUACCUGACUAAGAAGCCCCGGCUAACUACGUGCCAGCAGCCGCGGUAAUACGUAGGGGGCGAGCGUUAUCCGGAUUCCCUGGGGGUAACGGGAGCGUAGGCGGCCGUGCAAGCCAGGAGUGAAAGCCCGGGGCCCAACCCCGGGACUGCUGUUGGAACUGUGCGGCUGGAGUGCGGGAGGGGCAGGCGGAAUUCGUGGUGUAGCGGUGAAAUGCGUAGAUAUCAGGAGGAACACCGGCGGCGAAGGCGGCCUGCUGGACCGCGACUGACGUUGAGGCUCGAAAGCGUGGGGAGCGAACAGGAUUAGAUACCCGAGUAGUC